CACACUUGAAAUUCAUCCAAACCCAAACCCAACAUUCUCUCUCUCUCUCUCUCUCUCUAACCUCUCUCUCUUCAAUGGCUUCUCUUCCCACUUUCUCUCCACACUCUCUCCUCCCCAAACCCAACACCACAACACUCUUUCCCCAUUCAACCUCACCAUCCCACACUCUCUCUCUAACCUCUCUCUUUAGAACCAAACUCACUCUCCAACGACCCAUUUCUUCAACGGGUUCUAUCUCCAUCACUAACUUCCGUGCCACUUCAGAAACGGUGCCUUUUAAUCUCCCCACUGAUUCGUAAGUUGUUUGGUUUCAUCAAUUUUCUUCUGGGUCGGUUUUAAUUUGCUUAAAGUUUCUAUCUUUUUUGUUUUUUUUUUUU
rnacentral:lncRNA from 1 species